UUACGGCCAUAUCACUUUGAAACACCGGUUCCAGCACGAUCACUGAAGUUAAGCAACGUCGAGCUUGGUCAGUACCUAGAUGGGUGACAUCUUUGGAAUACCAAGUGCAGUAAG